GACAACUACAAUAAUAAAGCAAUUAGACUUCGCUUUCGGCCUCCGUUUCUUCCAAGGGAAUGUUAUUAUUAUUAUCGUUGGCACCUCUAAACGCAUUUCCUAUCCGCCCAAUUGCAUUUCCUAUACCUUCUAAUCGGGUAAGUAAAGAAUCAUUCAUACAGUUGGUUGAAUACACAUACCUAGGAAAGAAGCUAUACCAUUCCUGAUAAAUUUGGGCAUCCUUUUGAGAGCA